UGUAAGUUCAAACUGCAUAAAACGAAGUCAAUAUGGUAUGCAGAAGAUUUAUUUUUAUUUCUCUAGAAUACCGGUCAAAAGUUUCUAUCCAGAGUGACCAGUAGGAAAACUUCAAGAAAAAGAGAACUCCAUGCAUAGCAGGAUUUAAGCUGAUCCACAUCAGAGUUACUUUCUGGCAAGACUCUGAUUCCCCGACCAUAACUGGUACCUCCAUGGAGAUGAAACUCAAGAGCUAAUGAUGUUGCCUGGUUCUCCGAAUUCACUGACUGAAGUUUGGUA